CUGCAAUAGGCGAAAGCUUGACAGGGUUACUCUGAGUGAUUUCCGUUAAGGAGAUCUUUUGGCACCUCUAAAAAUGGUGCAGAAUAAGGGGUGGGCAAGUCUGGUGUCAGCCGCCGCGGUAAUACCAGCACCCCGAGUGGUCGGGACGUUUAUUGGGCCUAAAGCAUCCGUAGCCGGUUCUACAAGUCUUCCGUUAAAUCCACCUGCUUAACAGAUGGGCUGCGGAAGAUACUAUGGAGCUAGGAGGCGGGAGAGGCAAGCGGUACUCGAUGGGUAGGGGUAAAAUCCGUUGAUCCAUUGAAGACCACCAGUGGCGAAGGCGGCUUGCCAGAACGCGCUCGACGGUGAGGGAUGAAAGCUGGGGGAGCAAACCGG
rnacentral:rRNA from 1 species